GGUCGACGAUUCCUACGGGAGGCAGCAGUGGGGAAUAUUGGACAAUGGGGGCAACCCUGAUCCAGCCAUGCCGCGUGUGUGAAGAAGGCCUUCGGGUUGUAAAGCACUUUAAGCGGGGAGGAAGGCCUGAUGGCUAAUAUCCAUCGGGAUUGACGUUACCCGCAGAAUAAGCACCGGCAAACUUCGUGCCAGCAGCCGCGGUAAUA
rnacentral:rRNA from 1 species